ACCGUAAUAAAUCGCCUCCUAUCGUCUACAAUGACAGCCCAUAAUCGUAACGAAACGUAACAUAAAGAACCGUAAAAUCCAUAACGCAAAUUCGUGUUUGCGUCGAUUCUAACCUCUGUGUUAACUGUUACAAAGUGCAAAAAUUUCGCUAUAAUGGAUAAUUUACCAUGUUAGAAAAACAGUUCUUGUGGCUAUUAACUUAAUUGCGAUAAUUCUGCAGUUAUUGCGGAAAAAGAAGAAAAAGAUUAAACGAAAAUAUUGGGUUCGGCCAAUGUUAUUACAGCGGAAGCAAAAAAGCCAUUUUCAUACUCUCUUUCAGUUUAUGAAAAACAAUGACGAUGAACAGUUUUUCUUCACAAUUCGAAAGACUAUCAGAAUUAGUGCAAGAGUCUCUGAUAAAAAGAAGUAUUUGAGAGCCUCUGUCGCCGGAACAUUGAUUAUGUAUUACUUUGUAUUAUCUUGCUCAUGGUUGCAGUAUGCAAACUGUUGCAUGGAACUUUUAUGUGUCAAAAUCAACUGUGAGCAAAGUUAUCCGUGACACUUGCAAGAUUAUAUGGGACAAGUUAUCGCCUAUAUGUUUGCCAAGACCUACUGCUGACGAUUUCAGAAGGUACUCACGAGAUUUCCAAGAGUUGCGGAAUAUGCCGAAUUGUUUCGGGGCAAUUGAUGGAAAGCACAUCGUUGUACAAGCUCCUUACAAUACUGGGAUCAGUUUCUUCAA